AAAUGUUUCUAUGUUCUGUGGUAUAGAAGACACUUUUUAAAACCUUUCUUCUCCUUCAGGUGUAAGCCAAGGAGUAACAGUUCCACCUUGGAAUUGCCAGGUCAUGGCCUGAACCAAUGGUUGAGCACCAGGCAAGAAGGCAUGGCUAACCCAGGGAGCUCAGGUGCAAGCAAUGCACUCCUCCUGAGCUGUCACUUGCUGUCAGAAAGGGUGAGCUAAUUUUUCUGCAUUGUCAUCUUCUAUUGCUCCAUAGCACUUGUAUCUCAGUAGAAGCACUGUCAUUGCCUUCUUUUCCCACACAGCAUUUAUCAAUGUUCUUUCAAAUAUAUUUGUAUUUUGUGCUGAAAGCAAAUUUUAUUAAUAUCCACGAGAAGACAAACAAAUGCAGUGACUGAAGGAAAAUGGAAGAGAAAAAACUUCCUCUGAGUAAUAUUUAACAUUUUUUCAUGACUAGACUGAAAAAUGUUAAAAGCACAGUGCUUUUCAUUUGUAUUACCAAUGAAAAUAGAUACUGCUAUGCUUGUUAGAAGUGAUUAAUACCAUAUUUCUCUCAUGUUCUUAUUCUGAAUAAAAGGGAAAUUCCUAUUGUGAUGAAAGCCAUUGGAAUCUGUGAUUAGUCUAUUAAAGUGCAAAUUGUAAGGGAAACAGAAAAGUAUGGUUAUUGUUUCCUUUAGACAGCAUUUGACUUCAGUAAACUGGAGUUGAUUAUAAAAUUGAUCAGGGCAAAACAGCACUUAAACAUUCUGUCAAAUUUGCUGCUUUUCUGUUUAUUACUUAUAUUAUUUACACAGUGUCUCUGUCAGCCAGUGUGUCUAUAGUUUUUAUGUAAUAAGUACAUAAGCCUGAACAAAUAUGUUAUAUUUCUUAAAAACAACAGGUGGGCAUAGAAGCUAGAAAUACUGUGACCUAAUUGUUUCAAAUGGUUUGUAUUAGACUUAGACCUUCAGAGAUUUCUCCUGAUAGCAAUCUAUAUUUAUUGAUCUUGUAAUAACAGUAAUAGUUGAGUUAUAGAAACAUACAUCAGAAAGCAGUACCCUAUUUGUUACAGCUUUUGUUAUGUUGGUUCGCAUCUAACAAUUUAUUGAGGAUAUUUAAAUAUUUGUAUAUUUAAAUGCUUUUAUUCAGAUUUGUGUUUUAUUCAGAUUGCCCAUAUUGUUCUAAUGCUAAAACUUGAAGCUAGCUGUUACUCUGCUACACAUUAUGCAAAAGUUGGUGGUAAGGUGUUCAGUGACUUGACAAAAUAUGCUUGCUAGUAAAAGGACAGGCUUCAAAAGAUAGAUGUCUCUAUUAGGCACUCCUUAUUUAGCAGUUCAAGUAUUCAUUUAAGGUAGUUUAAUACUUAGCUAGUUUAACACUUAGCUAGGUGCCUAUGUACAUACUUUAAUUGACUUGUAGAUAUGCUUAAAGAAAAAUAAGGAAUUAAUAAUAUAUCACUGAAUAAGUUCUAUAUCUAAUAUAGGAACAAUAGGUAUGUGAGUAAUACAGACAAUAAAAACAACUGUGGAUAUAACAGGGCUUAGGCACCAAUAGAUGAUUGGUAGACACCUUCUUUCUUAGAUAUUUAGUAGGCAAGGUGUCUCUUGGAUCUAUACUUAGGAACCCAAAACUUUCC
ensembl:lncRNA